UAGCAAUAGGUUGAUGGCGACCGGCGCACGGGUGAGUAACACGUAUCCAACCUGCCGAUUAUUCCGGGAUAGCCUUUCGAAAGAAAGAUUAAUACUGGAUAGCAUAACGAGAAGGCAUCUUCUUGUUAUUAAAGAAUUUCGAUAAUCGAUGGGGAUGCGUUCCAUUAGUUUGUUGGCGGGGUAACGGCCCACCAAGACAUCGAUGGAUAGGGGUUCUGAGAGGAAGGUCCCCCACAUUGGAACUGAGACACGGUCCAAACUCCUACGGGAGGCAGCAGUGAGGAAUAUUGGUCAAUGGACGAGAGUCUGAACCAGCCAAGUAGCGUGAAGGAUGACUGCCCUAUGGGUUGUAAACUUCUUUUAUAUGGGAAUAAAGUGAGCCACGUGUGGCUUUUUGUAUGUACCAUACGAAUAAGGAUCGGCUAACUCCGUGCCAGCAGCCGCGGUAAUACGGAGGAUCCGAGCGUUAUCCGGAUUUAUUGGGUUUAAAGGGAGCGUAGGCGGAUUAUUAAGUCAGUUGUGAAAGUUUGCGGCUCAACCGUAAAAUUGCAGUUGAUACUGGUAGUCUUGAGUGCAGCAGAGGUAGGCGGAAUUCGUGGUGUAGCGGUGAAAUGCUUAGAUAUCACGAAGAACUCCGAUUGCGAAGGCAGCUUACU
rnacentral:rRNA from 1 species